GGGGAUAUAGCUCAAUUGGUAAAGUGCCUGCCUUGCAUGCACAAGGCCCUGGGUUCAAUCCCCAGCCCUA
rnacentral:tRNA from 1 species